rfam:Dipodomys ordii contig_51463, whole genome shotgun sequence.
GGGAAAGUGGCUCAGUGGUAGAGUUCUUGCCUUGUAUGCAAGAGACCCUGGGUUCCAUUCCUCAGCACCA